UCUCUUUCAUAUCUCACCGUCCUUGCCUAUAUUAGCGAUGCCAGCUUGCUGGCUAUGGCGAUAAACGGCACGUGGAAUAAACGUUGUGGACCCGGGGGCAGUACCCGGCAUCUCCACCAACCUUUUCUAGGCGGCCCGAUUCAGACUACGCGGCUGCGCCGCUUCGUCAUCGGGACGCCAAGAAAUAUUUGGGGAUGAAACAGCCUCGACACGCGUGGUAAAGACCUGUCUUUUGCUCGGCAUUGUACCGCCGUUAUCGGGCUAUAACUUAAAUGCGAACGAUAACAACGUAGCAUUCGCGGUCGCUGCCUAAACAGCAGCUAAGCGCGGUCCGGGGGGUACCGGGCAACAGAAACCCCCCACU
rnacentral:tmRNA from 1 species